rnacentral:rRNA from 1 species
CCUACGGGUGGCAGCAGUGAGGAAUAUUGGUCAAUGGGCGCGAGCCUGAACCAGCCAAGCAGCGUGAAGGAUGACUGCCCUACGGGUUGUAAACUUCUUUUAUAAAGGAAUAAAGUGAGGCACGUGUGCCUUUUUGAAUGUACUUUAUGAAUAAGGAUCGGCUAACUCCGUGCCAGCAGCCGCGGUAAUACGGAGGAUCCGAGCGUUAUCCGGAUUUAUUGGGUUUAAAGGGAGCGUAGAUGGGUUGUUAAGUCAGUUGUGAAAGUUUGGGGCUCAACCGUAAAAUUGCAAUUGAUACUGGUAGUCGUGAGAACAGUUGAGGUAGGCGGAAUUUGUGGUGUAGCGGUGAAAUGCUUAGAGAUCACGAAGAACUCCGAUUGCGAAGGCAGCUUACUAAACUGCCACUGACAUUGAUGCUCGAAAGUGUGGGUGUCAAACAGGAUUAGAUACCCUGGUAGUC